AUCAUCAGAUUGCACAGCUUGGCCCUGAGUUGGCUUCUACGCUUGUAAUAGUUAUAUCAAAGAGUGGAGGCACUCCAGAAACAAGAAAUGGUUUAUUGGAAGUACAAAAAGCAUUCCGUGAAGCUGGCCUGGAUUUUGCAAAACAGGGUGUCGCAAUUACACAAGAGAAUUCAUUAUUAGAUAACACUGCAAGAAUUGAGGGAUGGUUAGCUAGAUUUCCAAUGUUUGACUGGAUUUUGAAUAUUUUGAGUUGAUUUUUUUCCUGAUAUAUUUGGUGGUCAGGUUUCCUAUGUCUUUAGAAAGCCUGAAGUUUCAGAUAUUGUGAUAUUUAAGGUGCCUCCAAUUCUUCAGGAAAUCGGCUAUAGUUCAGGUGAUGUGUUUAUAAAGCGCAUUGUUGCAAAGGAACGGGAUUUUGUUGAAGUACAUGAUGUUAAGUUAAUGGUGAAUGGUAUUGUGCAAGAAGAGGAUUUCAUUUUGGAGCCACUUGAUUAUGAAAUGGAACCAGUGCUUGUGCCUGAAGGUUUUGUGUUUGUCAUGGGGGACAACCGCAACAAUAGUUUUGAUUUGCAUAAUUGGUAAUUCCGGGUCACCAAUAUUAGAAUUGCUUAGAAGUAAUUUAUUUGAAUAGUGUAGCUGUAUUAUUCGACAAUUCCUCAUAAAAAAUCU